AAUCAGCAGGGAAACAGCAUAUUCUGCAAGACCGGCGGCGGUCUGAUGGAAGUGUGCGUACGUUUCUUGGAACACUGGUGUCCUUGUACACUAACUAUCAUCGGAAUACACUGGUGAGCAUGUCAGAGGAUCAGCACCAUCCUGCUCGGGACUCUGUUUGACUCGCACAAAAAGUGGGACUCCUCAGAUGCGGUAUAUCCUACCCAAAGUGCCUGUUUGUCUGUCUGUCUGUCUGUCUGUCUGUCUGUCUUUGUUCAGCGGUGCACUGUGCCACAAGCAAAAGUGGGACGGCUCUGAGCACUCAAAGGCAAUGUUCCCCUAAAGUAGUUCUUGGGUCCUUAAUAGCACGCUUGCGCCCCAACCUCCAAAUUUCCCCUUUGCCCACAAGACAAACCACAAACCAAGAGUCUGGCAUGAACCACGUCAAUGAUUCAGGCACUGCACUCAAGGGAGCUUUGCAAAUCCUGCCCAGAUAUGUGAGCAAUAAGGAUCCCACUCAUGUGAUGACAACAUAAUAACGACAAAAAACAAAUGCGACCAAAGAGCAGUGUCCUUUCCAAUCCUCCCAAACUAAUGGUAGGAGUUGAGUGGCGUGGAACACCUGCAGUCAGAAGAAGACUUCUUUGAGCGGGGGGUGUAAGAUGGAGACUGAGUUGAGUACUAAUGGAAUGUACACCCCUGAGACACGUAAGAAAGACCACAUUGUUCCUCUACCCGGCAGAGCAAGCAAGCAUCAAGGCAAAAUGAGAGUGAGGACAAGGGAGAGAAGGGAGGACACUGUGUCUUACAUAGUAACCAUUCCUUUAGCAAAAGCAAAACAAUAUUUUACUCUGAUUGUGAUGUGUAGCAGAAAUGCUCUGUGACAGCAAUCAUAACUGACUAGGAUUGAUGGGACUAGUGCACUAGCAGUUAGAAUGUCUGCGCUACAAUUAAGAGGUUAUGGGUUCAGUGACGUGCGGUCAGGGGAGGCGGGUGAGGCUGUGUCCCCCCUGUUAUCAUGAGAGGAAAAAGAAACGAAAUAAUCAAAUCACACAUUUAUUAACAUUUCCCCUCUGUCCUUUUUUGGUGUGAUUCUUAAUGUUUUUUGACAUUUUUUACAGUAAAAAUGACAGAAAAGUCUGUAUUUCUUGCUUAAAUAAGCGGAGUCUCCUUCAACAAAGACGAGAGGUGAGGCAUAUUGACAGCCGAUAUGACCCCUUUGUGGAGUUUGCCUGUUCUCAACAUGCUUACAAAAUUUUCUUCAGAUACUGCAGCGAUCUGAGACAUUUCAAAAACAGGCAUGAUAGGUUCGCUCAAGAGUCUCAAUGGUCCAUAAUUGUUUUUUGCCAAUAUGUGCCUUGCUUCCAUUGUGUCUGGUGACAGGUUCACCGUGUGUAUCAUACGAGAUAAAAAGCCAACACAUUCCCGUUCAAAUGUCUGUUUUUUUGUGAUGGAAAAACAAAUGAGACAAUCAACCUGUACAACCCAAUUGACAAAAAGGUGAUGCGCCACCAGCCAACGCGAGUACAGGUUAAAGAAAACUCUGCAAUAGAAAGCACAAAAAUGUCAGGAAAAUGGAUUUCAUUUGGGGUUAAUCAGAGUAACUGAAAAUGCUAGCAGUUGUGUCCUGACGACCAUUUAAUGCAAGCUUGAAUGUGAUUAGUUCAGAUUUGUGCAAGCACAUUAUAUGAAUGAUUUAUUUUCAUUUCGCCACAUUUUCGUUUGUGACCAGCAGCAUGUGUGCGCUAACAGUAAAUCCAAGGCCAUUUUAAAACAGAGAAAUGCUAAAUAUGCACUUUCAAAGUUAGGAGCAAAAGAAUAAGAUCCCAGUUACAAGUGGCCGAUAUGUGGUUCCGGCUCGCUCUCCAUGAGAGAUAAGGCGAGUUGAGAGAGAAGGCAGAUGAGGUGGCGACCCAACCUCGGAUCAGCAGAAGAAAAUGAAUGGCUGGAUAGAUGUAAUUUAGUAUUCUAGUACACACAAUAUUUUUUUUCUCUGACUUUCUCAUUCCUUUUUCUUGCUCAUUGAUGUGUUACGACAAAUACAAGGAAAGUAAAGACUGUACUGUACUUGAAACAUUCCGUAGUCAAACUGUAUUGGCCGCAGGUAUAUAUUAAAUGCAGAAGUCUUAAUGCGUAUAAAUGCUUUAACAUGAAAAAACACAUAGAAUCAUGCCCAAAAAAAAUAUUAAUAUUAUUUUAAUAAUAUAGCACGUCGGCUUCACAGUGCAGAGGUACCGGGUUCGAUUCCAGCUCCGGCCUCCCUGUGUGGAGUUUGCAUGUUCUCCCCGGGCCUGCGUGGGUUUUCUCCGGGUGCUCCGGUUUCCUCCCACAUUCCAAAAACAUGCAUGGCAGGCUGAUUGAACACUCUAAAUUGUCCCUAGGUGUGAGUGUGAGCGUGGAUGGUUGUUCGUCU